ACCUAACUUGCCAUACUAUCUUAUGGAGUCAGUCUGACUGGUCACUCAGGGAGCACAAGAUAUCCUAUAAGUGGGGCCCACACAGACUCUAUGUGGAAAAAAGCAGCAAAACUCAUCUUAUAACUUGCUCUCCUGAGAUACCAACUCUACUUCAAGAGCUGGGACUAUCCAUAGAAUCUAUACCAACAGUGAAUUGCCCUGAGUGGCCCAUUGCCAAGAUCACACCGUUUUUGAUAAUAGUUACCUUGUCUAGAUCUAAUGAAGCCCCAUCCUGAGCAGCAUUGUUCAGUUGUGUUUUUCUUAAUUUUACAGUGAAAUGUAUUUUAUUCCUUUGGUA